AUGCACGCUGGCGGCGUGCCUAAUACCUGCAAGUCGAGCGAACAGACGAGGAGCUUGCUCCUCUGACGUUAGCGGCGGACGGGUGAGUAACACGUGGAUAACCUACCUAUAAGACUGGGAUAACUUCGGGAAACCGGAGCUAAUACCGGAUAAUAUAUUGAACCGCAUGGUUCAAUAGUGAAAGACGGUUUUGCUGUCACUUAUAGAUGGAUCCGCGCCGCAUUAGCUAGUUGGUAAGGUAACGGCUUACCAAGGCAACGAUGCGUAGCCGACCUGAGAGGGUGAUCGGCCACACUGGAACUGAGACACGGUCCAGACUCCUACGGGAGGCAGCAGUAGGGAAUCUUCCGCAAUGGGCGAAAGCCUGACGGAGCAACGCCGCGUGAGUGAUGAAGGUCUUUGGAUCGUAAAACUCUGUUAUUAGGGAAGAACAAAUGUGUAAGUAACUAUGCACGUCUUGACGGUACCUAAUCAGAAAGCCACGGCUAACUACGUG
rnacentral:rRNA from 1 species